GUGCUCUUUUUGGCAGCAUACCUAUUAAAACUGGAAUGAUACAGAGAAGACCAGCAAGGCUCCUGUUGCAAAGAUGACAUGUGAAUUCAUGAAACAAUUCAUAUUUAA
ensembl:snRNA Gm23483 U6 spliceosomal RNA